rnacentral:rRNA from 1 species
ACUACGGGAGGCAGCAGUGGGGAAUAUUGCACCAUGGGGGAAACCCUGAUGCAGCGACGCCGCGUGAGUGAAGAAGUAUUUCGGUAUGUAAAGCUCUAUCAGCAGGGAAGAAAUAGCGACCUUUGGGUCGCCAGACGGUACCUGACUAAGAAGCCCCGGCUAACUACGUGCCAGCAGCCGCGGUAAUACGUAGGGGGCAAGCGUUAUCCGGAUUUACGGGGUGGAAAGGGAGCGUAGACGGCAGCACAAGUCUGAAGUGAAAUGCCGGGGCUUAACCCCGGAAGUGCUUGGGAAACUGUGCAGCUAGAGUGCAGGAGAGGUAAGUGGAAUGCCUAGUGUAGCGGUGAAAUGCGUAGAUAUUAGGAGGAACACCAGUGGCGAAGGCGGCUUACUGGACUGUAACUGACGUUGAGGCUCGAAAGCGUGGGGAGCAAACAGGAUUAGAUACCCUAGUAGUC